rnacentral:rRNA from 1 species
UGGGGAAUAUUGCACAAUGGGCGCAAGCCUGAUGCAGCCAUGCCGCGUGUAUGAAGAAGGCCUUCGGGUUGUAAAGUACCUUUAGUCGGGAGGAAGGUGGUAAGGUUAAUAACUUUGGUAAUUGACGUUACCGACAGAAGAAGCACCGGCUAACUCCGUGCCAGCAGCCGUGGUAAUAUGGAGGGUGCAGGCGUUAAUCGGAAUUACUGGGCGUAAAGCUGACGCAGGCGGUUGAUUGAGUCAGAUGUGAAAUCCCCGGGCUUAACCCGUGAAUUGGAUCUGAUACUGGUAAGCUAGAGACUUGUAGAGGGGGGUAGAAUUCCAUGUGUAGCGGUGAAAUGCGUAGAGAUGUGGAGGAAUACCGGUGGCGAAGGCGGCCCCAUGGACAAAGACUGACGCUCAGGUGCGAAAGCGUGGGGAGCAAACAGG